rnacentral:rRNA from 1 species
AUUGAACGCUGGCUGCAGGCCUAACACAUGCACGUCGAGCGGAGCGUCGCACGGGUGAGUAAUACCUAGGCAUCUGCCUGCUAGUGGGUGAUAACGUUCGGACACGGACGCCAAUACCGCAUACUAUCAGAUGCGACUAGGUCGGAUUAGCUAGUUUGUGAGGUAAUGGCUCACCAAGGCUAAGAUCCGUAACUGGUCUGAGAGUAUGAUCAGUCAAAUGGGAAGUGAGACACGGUCCAGACUCCUACGGGAGGCAGCAGGGGGGAAUAUUGGACAAUGGGCGAAAGCCUGAUCCAGCCAUGCCGCGUGUGUGAAGAAGGUCUUCGGAUUGUAAAGCUCUUUAAGUUGGGAGGCGUUACCGACAGAAUAAGCACCGGCUAACUCUGUGCCAGCAGCCGCGGUAAUAC